GGAGGAUGCCGGGCGGCCGCUGGCUUUUAAGCCAGAGGAAAGUCCGGACACCAUAGGGCAGGGAGGUCGCUAACGGCGACCGGGGGCGACCCCAGGGAAAGGGCCACAGAAAAUAUACCGCCGCGCGUCGAGCGCGGUAAGGGUGAAAAGGCGGGGUAAGAGCCCACCAGCCUGCCGGGUGACCGGCAGGGCUUGGCAACCCCCUCCCGGUGCAAGGCCAAAUAGGUUCCGCUUCAAGGACGGCCCGUCCUUCAUCCCUCAAGGAGGGCGGAACGGGUUGGCUGCUCGAGCCUGCUGGCAACAGCAGGCCCAGAUGAAUGGCCGCCGCCCGGUUUCGACCGGGAACAAGAUCCGGCUUAUGGCAUCCUCCGGCU
rnacentral:RNase_P_RNA from 4 species